GCGUUAUCCGGAUUUAUUGGGUUUAAAGGGUGCGCAGGCGGACCAAUAAGUCAGGGGUGAAAAAUUUCAGCUUAACUGGAAUCGUGCCUUUGAUACUGUUGGACUAGAGUAUAAUUGACGUGACUGGAAUGUGAUGUGUAGCGGUGAAAUGCUUAGAUAUGUCACAGAACGCCAAUCGUGAAGACAGGUCACGAAAUUAUUACUGACGCUCAUGCACGAAAGCGUGGGGAUCAAACAGGAUUAGAUACCCUGGUAGUCCACGCUGUAAACGAUGAUUACUCGUUGUUGGGCAGUGAUGCUCAGUGGCUAAGCGAAAGCGAUAAGUAAUCCACCUGGGGAGUACGAUCGCAAGGUUGAAACUCAAAGGAAUUGACGGGGGCCCGCACAAGCGGAGGAGCAUGUGGUUUAAUUCGAUGAUACGCGAGGAACCUUACCCGGGCUUGAACGUAAGACGAAUAUAUAAGAGACUAUAUAGCCUUCGGGCGUCUUGCGAGGUGCUGCAUGGUUGUCGUCAGCUCGUGCCGUGAGGUGUUAGGUUAAGUCCUGCAACGAGCGCAACCCUUACACUUAGUUGCCAGCACGUAAUGGUGGGGACUCUAAGUGAACUGCCUACGCAAGUAGAGAGGAAGGUGGGGAUGACGUCAAAUCAGCACGGCCCUUAUGUCCGGGGCUACACACGUGCUACAAUGGUAUGUACAGAGGGCAGCCACCUGGCGACAGGGAGCUAAUCCUCAAAGCAUAUCUCAGUUCGGAUUGGAGUCCGUAACUCGACUCUAUGAAGUUGGAUUCGCUAGUAAUCGCGCAUCAGCCAUGGCGCGGUGAAUACGUUCCCGGGCCUUGUACACACCGCCCGU
rnacentral:rRNA from 1 species